UACAGAGGUCCCAAGCGUUGUUCGGAUUCAUUGGGCGUAAAGGGUGCGUAGGUGGCGCCGUAAGUCGGGUGUGAAAUUUCGGAGCUUAACUCCGAAACUGCAUUCGAUACUGCCGUGCUUGAGGACUGGAGAGGAGACUGGAAUUUACGGUGUAGCGGUGAAAUGCGUAGAUAUCGUAAGGAAGACCAGUGGCGAAGGCGGGUCUCUGGACAGUUCCUGACGCUGAGGCACGAAGGUCAGGGGAGCAAACAGG
rnacentral:rRNA from 1 species